UUGAAGAUCUGGUCAUAAAGCACGACUAUGAUCCAGAAACGCCCCAUAACUGUUUUGAACAGAUGAAAAUGGAAACAACACAUUUGCCAAUCCUGACCUCACCCUGUUUGUGGACGGCUCAAGGUAUGCUGAUGAAGAAGGAAAAUAUCACACAGGAUAUGCCGUCACCACAACAGAUGAAAUUAUCAAGUCAUCAUCUCUACCAUCAACAAUGUCUGCGCAGGAAGCUGAAUUACAAGCCCUAACUUCAGCAUGC